rnacentral:rRNA from 2 species
GCAAGUCGAGCGAACUGAUUAGAAGCUUGCUUCUAUGACGUUAGCGGCGGACGGGUGAGUAACACGUGGGCAACCUGCCUGUAAGACUGGGAUAACUUCGGGAAACCGAAGCUAAUACCGGAUAGGAUCUUCUCCUUCAUGGGAGAUGAUUGAAAGAUGGUUUCGGCUAUCACUUACAGAUGGGCCCGCGGUGCAUUAGCUAGUUGGUGAGGUAACGGCUCACCAAGGCAACGAUGCAUAGCCGACCUGAGAGGGUGAUCGGCCACACUGGGACUGAGACACGGCCCAGACUCCUACGGGAGGCAGCAGUAGGGAAUCUUCCGCAAUGGACGAAAGUCUGACGGAGCAACGCCGCGUGAGUGAUGAAGGCUUUCGGGUCGUAAAACUCUGUUGUUAGGGAAGAACAAGUACGAGAGUAACUGCUCGUACCUUGACGGUACCUAACCAGAA